GGGUGCACGGAAGAUGUGGAUCCGUGGGUUGUCUUUACCGGUUGGCCGUGGGAGUAUAAAUUAGCCACUCUGGAAAACUGGUGAGCAGCUCCCGGAGGAACACCCACAUACCCCGCGACCUGCGUUUGCAGUAUGCAUGUUACAAAAACUUUCAGGCAAAAAUCUUCACAGCAAGACCGUUCAAGUGCCCAAGACCGGAGGAGUGGAUAAACCCACGGAGGCACAUCCACACACGGGACGUCGCACAGCAGUCCAGACAAACGAACUGCAGCAACACAGAACAGCUCGGGCGAUGCUUAUCGACUUACUAGUAAUCGAGAAAAGGAACUCCCGAAAGAUUACACACAGCGCCACACCCUCUUAAAGAAGAAACUGCUAAACUUUUGAACUGGAAGCAGGAGAGAAGUAAAGAUGGAGAAAGAAUGAAGCCUGAGCGGGAAUCCACGCUGUGGGAGUCUCAGCGCUGUUCCAAGCAGGUCUGGUGGACCAAGAGCUCCUCCAAGGUGGUCCGUGGGCAAGUCAGGCCUUGCUCAGAGGUGGAAACAGCGAGCUGAAAACCAAGUUCACCUACUGAGCCUCCCGUACAACUGUAGGAAACAGGUUUCCAUUCUCUCGGCUUCUAUUUCCCAUAUAGAAAAUGAAGGUAGCAUUUCCAUUGUGUGAUUUAUUUAUUGAAUAAGUACUUCACAUACUGAUGUGGCUGCAUAUCUCACACUGUAAAUGGCAGUUCAGCUCCAAUGUGUCAAAAAGCAAAACAGAAAGCAUGCAAAAAAAAAGAAGAAAACAGAACUGCAUAUUUAUUCUAGCAGUGGAGCAAAGAUAAAUUUCUGGCUCUUGAAAAAUUGAGCCUGUCAUCAGACAAAAUAGAUGGGUGUGAAUAAGUAAAUCAUGCAACGGAAUAUAUAUUUAAAAGAAAACAAUAUAACUGCAAACAACUCACUGCCAAAAUAAUUAAAAUUGGUAGAGAUGCAUAGUGCACAGGUUGAGAUGCCCCUCCAGGAAGCGAGCAAAAGACAGUCCAGGUGGUCUGCUCAGGGGCCCUUGUCACAGCCCCAGGGAGCCGUGGCGGGGCCUGGAGAGAGGCCCAGCCUCAGCGAUGAGUCAUAGUCCACACAUCCAGCUUGCUUCAUGAGCCUGCAUCUGUCCCUUCAUAUGUAAAAUGGAUAUAAUUAUACCUACUUUGCAGGAUUCUUAUGAGGACAAAUUAGGGGGCCUGUCACCAUAGUGAGCAUUCAAGAAAUGGGAAUUAUUACCAUCAUCACAGGGGAAAAUGCACAGCAUCACUGGCAAUUAAAGAUGUGGAAACGGUGACAAUUUAAAGGUAACAUGACUAGCUAUUAAAGUAGGAAAAGAUAUUCAAGUUCACAAAAAGACUCAAACAAAUAUAUUAAUAGCCAGUUUAUCUACACAAAUACUGGAAAGAGCCCAGAUGUCCAUUAGCGGAUAAACACAUUGUGGCACAUCCGUGCAAUGGAAUACUUCCCGGCAAUAAAAAGAAUGACCCGCUGAUACAUGCAAUGACGUGGAUGAAUUGCAAGAUCACCGUGCAGAAUAGAAGAAGCUUCACACGAAAGAUCUCACACGGUGUCAUUCCAUUUGCGUGAAAUUCUGGAGCAGAGAAAACUAAUCUAUGGUAGAAAAAAAUCGAGGUGGUGAUUGCCCCAGAUGGGGCCAGGGACUGACUAGGAGAGGGCACAGGGGGAUCUCCAGGGGUGGCAGGAACAUUCUCUAUCUUGCCGGGGCUUUGUGUGUGCGUUUGCCAAAGCUCAGCGAAGCUGUACUCGAGACACGUGCACUUCACUAGGUGUGAAAUUUACCGCUCAAGCAAAAACUAGAAACCAUACUGAACUCUAGUUAAUGGUGCAGUAUUUGGGGGAAGUGUACCUGUUCUGCAAUUUACUUUGAAAUAUAUAAAAAGUAAGAGGAGUUACUGGAUGGUAGACAGGUGGAUAUGUGAUAAAGCAAAGAUGGUAAAAUAGCAAGGGUAGAAUGCAGGUGGUGAGUGCUCACUAUAAAAUUAGUUCAACUCUUCUUCAUGUUUGAAAUUUCUCAAAUAUUAGGACAAAAAAAUUACUGUGUGUAGGACACUGGUGGAAUGGUAAAUUCAUACUGUGUGGAGGCCCUGAAAACACUUUGUUGAUCUUUCUGUACACAUUCAUACACAUUCAUGCCACGUGUAUGUGUUUUGACCCAGUAAUUCCCCUUUGGAUGCUACACCCCAAAACUGUAGGGCAGGGCCCUGCAGGAAGAUAGGCAUGGGGCUGAGGUGAAAGUAGAUGACCAGAAGCUGAAACUGAGCAAGAAUGAGCGACAGAGACGCUGGAAGGCUGAGAAGCAGGUGGCAGAGAAGGAGCCGAGCAGAAAGAGCCCAGUGAGAAGCGGGUAAGCCAGGCUACGGGGCCACCCACCCGCCACUGCCAACUCUGGGGGUUCCCCAGGGGAGAGCCUGAACCAAAAUGACACCAUAAGAUCCGCAGUCCAGCCGCCUCCAGCAAAAGGCUGGCAGAAGACUGGAACCCACACAAGUUCCACAGCGACAUCUCACUCGCCUCAUCCACCUGCAGUCACCUGCAGCCUGGGGACCACCCGACUGAUGUCGCCUCAAGUGGCAGGUAGAUCCUGGGGGAACGCUCCUCCUCUGUGACCUUUGUGGAGAAGGGGUCAAGUUGCAGGUCAUGGCCAAUUCCAGGAAUCAGAAGAAGAAUGUGUUCAUAUCGGUAACAAAUGGCCGCGGGAGACAUAGCUGGAGUUCAGGAGAAUCCCGGGAAACCAAGGAGGGUGAGCUGCACAUCACGCCCCACAGGGUCACGCUGCUGUCUUCCGCUGGCAUAAGCUACUCGUCCUCACUUCAGCCUCGAGGAUACCAGGUCACUCACUCAUGAGCUCUUUACAUCUUAAAGAUAUUAACUCCUGAAAACACACACAUGUAUACUAGAAGAAAAGGUAAAAAGACGGUCAGAGAAUAUUGGUAGAAUAGACAGCAACUUCAAUGUGCACAUUAGCUUCACACUUAGCGUCUUUAAAAUUUUAUUGAUGCAUGGUAGAUGUACAUGGUUUUGAGGUACAUGUAAUAAUUAAACAUGCAUAUAA